CGGAGGGUGCGAGCGUUGUCCGGAAUCAUUGGGCGUAAAGGGCGCGUAGGUGGCCCGGUCAGUCUUUGGUGAAAGCGCGGGGCUCAACCCUGCGUCGGCCAGGGAUACUGCCGCGGCUCGAGCACUGUAGAGGCAGGCGGAAUUCCGGGUGUAGCGGUGGAAUGCGUAGAGAUCCGGAAGAACACCGGUGGCGAAGGCGGCCUGCUGGGCAGUUUGGCUGACACUGAGGCGCGACAGCGUGGGGAGCAAACAGGAUUAGAUACCCUGGUAGUCCACGCCGUAAACGAUGGGCACUAGGCGCUUGGGGGAGCGACCCCCCGAGGGCCGGCGCUAACGCAUUAAGUGCCCCGCCUGGGGAGUACGGCCGCAAGGCUG
rnacentral:rRNA from 1 species